GGGUUCUUGUCGGGGUGCCUUGAGUGAAAGGCUGAGAUCGGUUAAUCCGGAUCCCGUUGAACCUGAUCAGGUUAGCGCCUGCGUAGGGAACAAGAUUUCUCGUCCU
rnacentral:ncRNA from 2 species